rnacentral:misc_RNA from 1 species
CUUGGACCUUGGUGUUGAGAACAUGCUUUCUCUACUAGUUACUUCUCAUGUGUUCUAAACUUGUUUGGUGGGUGUUCCAGAAGAGAGUUGAGUCUUACUUCAGAUGGGUAGGCAACAAGGAGACUUGGUCUUCUAAGCCUCUUUUUGCAUCAGCCUCUGCAUCAACUCCUUUGGAUAGUCAACGAUACUAUAUGGAUGGUUUGAGAGGUUUCCGCUGGCUGUGUAUCAAGGGUGAAAGCGAUUUUGCUAAGACAGUAUCACUGUGAACGGUUUUGUUGUAUGCGGUUUUGGAAGGUAGAGGGCAGGUUUUUGUGGGUUGCUUUCCUAGUUUUAGCCUUUGGUCCUUACGCUACUUCGGAGCAGGUAGCCCGUUGGCUGUUACCGUCGCCUGUAGAGGCAAGAAUGCAUCAAUCAUUUCUCCGUUCCUCCAAAACUGCAAUAACUGUCACUCGCUUCGCCAUCUCGCAAGAAGCACAAUCACUCUUCUUCCACUCUUCUUCAGCCCAUCACCGCCAGCAACAGCAGCAAGAACAAAAAGGUGAAAAACAAAAGCAACAGAAACUAAAGCAAGAAUCUUCUAAUUCCAUUGACAUCUCCAAAUCCCCAAUUGGGUCGCCAUCUCGAGUCCAGAAACUCAUAGCUUCCCAAUCAGAUCCUCUCCUCGCCAAAGAAAUCUUCGAUUUCGCUUCUCGCCAACCUAAUUUUCAACAUUCUUACUCUUCGUAUCUCGUCCUUAUUCUCAAACUUGGCCGUUCCAAAUACUUCUCCCUCAUAGAUGACCUUCUAGUUGACUUAAAAUCCAAACAUUAUCCAGUUACUUCAACUUUUUUUUCUUACAUAAUCAAAAUCUAUGGUGAGGCCAACUUGCCAGAUAAGGUUCUCAAAACUUUCUAUAAAAUGCUUGAAUUUAACUUCAAGCCUUUGCCCAAACAUCUCAAUCGCAUUCUUGAAUUUCUUGUUUCUCACCGGAACUAUAUAAAAACUGCUUUGGAUCUUUUCAAUAAUGCUCAUAGAUAUGGUGUUUCGCCCAACACUAAAUCAUAUAACAUUUUGAUGCGAGCUUUUUGUUUAAGUGGGGAACUUAGUAUUGCAUACAAGCUGUUCAAUCAAAUGUUCAAAAGAGAUGUUUUGCCGGAUGUUGAAUCGUACCGAAUUUUGAUGCAGGGAUUGUGUAGGAAAAGUCAGGUUAAUGGAGCUGUUGAUUUUUUGGAGGACAUGUUGAAUAAAGGGUUUGUGCCGGAUACUUUGAGUUAUACUACUUUGUUGAAUAGUUUGUGUAGGAAAAAGAAGCUUAAGGAAGCAUAUAAGCUUCUCUGUAGAAUGAAGGUUAAGGGGUGCAACCCGGAUAUCGUUCAUUAUAAUACGGUUAUAUUGGGGUUUUGCAGAGAUGGGUGUGCAAUGGAUGCUUGUAAGGUUCUUGAAGAUAUGGAGUCUAAUGGAUGCUUGCCGAAUUUAGUGUCUUAUAGGACUUUGGUUGGUGGAUUAUGUGAUCAAGGGAUGUUUGUUGAGGCAAAGCGUUAUUUGGAGGAAAUGAUAUCAAAGGGGUUUUCCCCACAUUUUUCAGUUUCUCAUGCGUUGUUGAAGGGGCUCAGCGAAGUUGGUAAGAUUGAAGAAGCAUGUAGAGUGUUGGAGGAAUUGCUAAAGCAUGGAGAGGCUCCUCAUACAGACACUUGGAUGAUUAUAUUACCUAGGAUAUGUGAAGUGGAUGACUUGGGGAGGGUGGGAGAAAUUUUGGAUAAGGUCAUGAUGGUAGAAAUAAAGGGCGACACACGAAUAGUAGAAGCGGGUGUUCGCUUGGAAGAGUACUUGAUCAAGAAGAUACAAACAAAAUGGCGAGUUUGAAUGCUUUUUGGCAUAUUGACGGUUUAUUUCAACUCUAAGCAGAGAUUUUGCAAAUUUUUAAUUCCAGAUUGACCAUGAUUCAUAUUCAUUUUCUUCUAUCUACAUAUUAUGGUUUUCAGUGUAUUGAAUAAUGUUGUACCAAUGAGUUUUCUUUAGAAGAAUGAAAAUAUUGUUGGCUCUGCAUGAUGAAAUUA